UAAGGUAUAAUAUUUGUUGAUUUUCUUCCAUUAUGUCAUACCAAAGCUCUGAUAUAGUGUGCAAAGCAAUCUCCAAUACAGAAGAUGGAGAUCAGAUGUAUGCAUCAGAGUUCUUGAAUAGUUUGAAAUUCUCCGGAACACCAGACCACAUAUUACGGCUGAAAGUCGGCCAACCAAUAAUGCUCUUGCGAAAUAUCAAUAGCACAAGAUUAACUAUAACACAACUAGGAAAGUGGUUCAUAGAAGCUCAAAUAAUAACAGGGACAAACAUUGGAAAUAAGGUAACAUUCACGAAUAAUUAUGUCACCAUAUGAAUCAAAAUGGCUGUUUGUAUUGAAGAGAAGGUAGUACUCAAUAUCAGUUUGUUUUGCAAUGACGAUAAAUAUGGAAAAUCAUUAGAAUAUGUUGGAAUAUAUUUUCCAAAGCAGGUGUUCACACACGGCCAACUCUAUGUAGCGGUGUCCCGAGUCACAUGUAGAGAUGCACUUAAGGAUCUCAUGUUUCAGUGAAGAAUCCCAACAAAAUGAUAUGAAAAAAAAUAUUGUGUACAAAGAGAUACUUCACUUCAAGAGAACUUAGAAUAUUUGUAUUGUACUCUAUGUAACACUCAGGUAUGUACAUUGAUAUGUUUUUUAAGCAGCAACAUUAUAAACUUCAUUUCAUUGCUACCUUACGCGGAAGCUUUAGUUAAUAUUUUUUUAAGACCAAUAGGAUCACAACGACAUUGUUGGAGCGCUGCGUGACGUCAGGGAUGCAACCAACAUGAUUUAAACUAUAGAGGCACAAAGAAAAGGAGGCAAAAGGUUUGGAUGACGCCAAGAUGAUUCCAUGCCAGCUGAAGGCCCUAUAUCUUCUGUCGGCGGCAUGAUUGUCCAGGAUGUCAAUAGCUCAAUCGGCAACCUCAACAUCAGCCUGCACAGCGGCUUCGCCAAUCUUUUUGAGGUCGACGAGAGCCGCAGCCAAAUCCGCAUCAGGCCCAUGGUCCUCCAUCUGUGAAUCACGGUUGGAGUAGAGCUGACGGCAGCAGUCGUUGUACGACCGAGGGGAGAAGCUGGACGAACUCAGGAAUAGAGAUGGCCCAAAAGCAGGAGGUCGAGUUCCUGGUGCGAGCCGCCACGAAACCUCGACGCCGGCGAACUGCAAAAUCCAGCAGAGAAUGGCAACAAGCAAGCCUUCACAACUGCUCCUCCUCAAAUCUCCUUGGCGACUGCGCUACAUCCAGAUCCAACUCUGGUAUUGGGGAUAGCUCAUAGUAGUAGUUGCUUAAAAAAAAAAACUAUACAUAAGCCAGGGAAUAUGAAUACCAGGUGUCGGUGCGUGUGUACCCUACUAGGGACAAGUAGAAACGACUGAAUGGAUAAUAUUACCAGCAGAUACAAGUGCAUCCAUGCU